rnacentral:tRNA from 1 species
GCCAUCAUAGCUCAGUGGUUGAGCACUGACCUGUGAACCAGGAGAGCAUGGUUCAAUUCCUGGUGAGAGCA